rnacentral:tRNA from 1 species
GCCGGGAUGGCGGAAUCGGUAGACGCAUUCGACUUAAAAUCGAACGCCCGUGAGGGCAUACGGGUUCAAGUCCCGUUCUCGGCACCA